rnacentral:sRNA from 1 species
AUGUGCCACUUGUACACUCCGGUUCUCGGCGCGCAGUCCGCACCCACCUGACGACCGCUCGCUACGUUUUGUUGGCC